GGAGGCUGAGGCAGGAGAAUCGCUUGAACCCAGGAGGAAGAGUCUUGCUCUGUUGCCAGGCUGGAGUGCAGUGGCACAGUCUCGGUUCACUGCAACCUCUGCCUCCCGGGUUCAAGCGAUUCUCCUGCCUCAGCCUCCCGAGUAGCUGGGAUUACAGGCAUGCACCACCACACCUGGCUAAUUUUUGUGUUUUUAGUAGAGACGGGGUUGCACCAUGAUGGCCAGGCUGGUCUCAAACUCCUGACCUCAGGUAUCCACCCUCCUCGGCCUCCCAAAGUGCUGGGAUUACAGGCGUGAGCCACUGCACCCGGCUGCCAUUACUUCGAAGAAUAGCUGUAUUUCAGGUGC
rnacentral:lncRNA from 1 species